GGGCGCUGGCGGCCGUUUUGCCUCUCUGUGCGACCUUCAAAUACAGCGAAGAAGAAUGUGUGCGCAUGCGCACUUCAUAUUAGUUGAUGUCGACGUCAGCUUCUGUCUGUCAGUGUGGGAGAUGGUAAGAAAUGAGUUGUUAUAACUCUGUUAACACAGAUAAGCAUCUUUAGUUAAGUGUUUCUUAAGUUUAACACAGUGUAGUUUCUAGCGGAGUUCUCACUUAGCAGGGUUAUUAUGCUACUAAGCUAAUGCUAGUGAACAUUAGCUUUGUGUGUUUGCACCUGCUGCAUUGUUUUGAAACAUUAAAGUGGGGAAUUAAGCGCAUUUAGUACUAAAAUAUAAUGCUGCACCACAUGUGAGCACUCCACUGAUGCACUUUACAUCCAUAGGUACACUAUCUUGAUAUCACGUCUGUAGUUUUAAUGUAAUCUGAUUUAUUUUAUUUCCAGGUGAGGCUCUCUCAUGGAGGCAGUGUGUGAGCAGCUCCAUGGAGGUGGUGGUGGUGGUGAUGAGGAGGAGGAGGAGGAGCAGGCAGGAGCAGAGGAAGCCAUGCUGUGGUCCAUCCAGGAGGCUCUGGAGAGGCAGACCCUGCAGAUAGGAGCGUCAGCCUGCGGGGCCACAGCUGUGGUGGACGUGCUGAAGGCCCUCGGCGUGGACGUGGCCCCUGAGGAAGCAGACCGCUGCGUCCGGACACACCUGAGGAGGAACGAGUCACCGCUGCCGGACUACCUGCUGUCCCGGAGUGAAGCUGGUGCGACUCACGCUCAGCUCAUUGAAGGAGCAGAAGAGGCCAGUCAUGGGAAGGUGACAGGUCGCUUCUUCCACCUCCACCCCCGGCGUCUGGUCAGGCUGGUACCGUGGCUCGCCAGCUGGAUCCGAAAAGGCGCCGUUCCCGUGGCGACCAUGAACAUGCAGCUUGCCGUACCUGAGGGAGAGGAGGUGCCUGACGCCUGGCACCACCAGCUCAUAUUUGGUGUUGCAUCGAAUGCUGUUUUCAUGACCAAUCCUUUAGAUGUAGUGAGCGACCGAGAGUUGCACCAGAGACUCUGCAGCGAAUCGGUGCUGCUGAUUCGUCGAGAAGACGUUCUUCAGCGACUGACGCCGGACUGCAGCCUGUCAAGCUUAUCCGAGCAGCGGUGGAAAGCCCUGGACGUCGAGGGUCAAGUGAGACAGAUGCACCAAGAAGAGGAAGAGGAAGACGAUGGAGCCAAGUUAACACACAUCAGGAUCCCUGCAGCGUACAGUUCAGGCGUCACUUUCUUCGCCCUACGAGAAUCAGAGUUAGGACAAGAACUCCUCAGUGCUCCUGAACUACCUUGUUUGUGACGGGACUGACACUCAUGGACUCGACUUAUUUAUUAUAAUAUUUUUUUUAAAAAUGCCUGUAUGAAUGACUCACGAAUAAAUUAUGUUUCAAAUACACAGAGAGGAGACGGAAAGGCUACUUUUUCACAACCUCACCUCAUCUGCUCCCCGCCGCCUCCAGACUCUUAACUAGAAUUAAAAAGUCAGUUCCCAUCAGGCCGUAUUUGGCCACUUCACACCUUCUUUCAGUUAACUUUAAGAUUGACUUUCAGAAUGUAUUGAUUUCUCUCACAGCAGUAAAUGGCAGAGCUCCAGCUUAUAUUUCAAAGCUGUUAUGUCCUGAUGCUCAGAAGCUUCUAUCAGCAGUCUGAACUCCUGUGGUCGCUCUGCGGGCCACAUUAAAGCAAUAAAGGUGGCGGAGUCUUUAGAGCCGGGGUAAUUAAAUGUUGGCACAAUUAAAGAAAAAAUAUCCAUCGGUUUUCCCCAAAAGACAGCUCACUUAUGUACGGAAGCUCUUAACGGACAUUGGUCGAAGCCAUUUCCUUUUUAUCCUUUGAAAACAAGUUAAUUUUUUAAGUUAAGUUAUUUAUUUUCAUUAUCUGGUAAUAAACACAUGUACUUGUUUCUCAUAGUGUACUUCCUUAAAAAGUCAUCUUUGAUUAUUGUCAGUGCUUGUAGGUUACAAAUGGUAGUACAUUUGAGAUACCUGUACUUUAGUAUUUUCUUCUCAUGCCAAUUCAUGUUUGUGACAGUGUCAGUUGAGGCUGUGGGUAAUUGUGACUACAUUUUUCACUACUUUUAUCAUUUUCAUAAAACAAAUCAUUGAUAUAAUGAUUAUUGAGUGAUCUAUAAAGAUUAAAUAAUUAAUAUCAUUUAACAAAUAGUUAAAAUCACCUCAGUUGACUUAAAUCGUGCGUUUACAUGGCUGCAAGAAUAUAUUACUUUUUAAGCACUCGGGUAUUUUUACAGUAUUUUUUACUUUUACUUUGAAGGAUCUGAAUACUUGGUCAUUGUGUACAUUUUCACAAUAAAAUAAUAAAACUAGUUGCAGACAAAUUUAGCCUCAAAAGCAGAAAAUCCUGUGAGUAAACCUGCUAUAAUUAUUUGUUGAUAAAUUCAAAGUAUUCAAUUUUAAUCCCAUUUUCUUCGAUGUGAAAAUUCUAACGUUUGACCAGACAUUGCCGAUUAACUUCAAUUCCCAUGAUGCACCAGACAGAUACACCCCGCGGAAGUUGAAAAACAACCCAAACUUUUCCCAAAAAAAUCACUUCUCGGUCAGCAGAUAGAGGUAAGAAGAAGACACACAGUAAAAACACAGCAGGUGAACAAUGUCGAAGUCCAGCGUUUUUUAAGCUACGUAGCACUUUGAGCUAAUGUUGCUAGCAGCUAGCUCGCUGAUAAGCACAUCACGGUGAUAUAUUGGAUCCACGUGGUGUGUGUGUGUCGGUGUGUGUGAUAACAGUUUGCAUCCCCGGUCAGUCUGCAGGCUGAGAGCUGAGACACUUCUUCUGGACUGUUGUCCUAAACUGGGCUCCGGCUAUUUCCUGCUUCACUCAUUAAUUAACACAAAG
rnacentral:lncRNA from 1 species